rnacentral:rRNA from 1 species
UACGUAGGGUGCGAGCGUUGUCCGGAAUUACUGGGCGUAAAGAGCUCGUAGGUGGUUUGUCGCGUUGUUCGUGAAAACUCACAGCUUAACUGUGGGCGUGCGGGCGAUACGGGCAGACUGGAGUACUGCAGGGGAGACUGGAAUUCCUGGUGUAGCGGUGGAAUGCGCAGAUAUCAGGAGGAACACCGGUGGCGAAGGCGGGUCUCUGGGCAGUAACUGAC